CCGCUUCCUCCCACCCCUACCCCCUCCACCGCGCCGAGACUCCAGUCUGUCCUAAGGAGCCUUCAGCCCCGCUCUGGGCCACCCUUAGCGCUCUCCGGAGCGCCUCGUCUCCCCUGGGGCUCCCGUGCCCCUCCUGGGUCUUGCCUUAUCCUUUCCCCGGGGACCCUCUAUAACCCUUCAGGGUCUCCCUUGAUCUUUCCCUCUGGGGCCACUCAUCUGCCUGCCAAAACCCUCUCCCCAGGAGUGCUCUCCCUUCCUCCCCCUUCCCUCUCUUCUCCUCCCUCUCCCUAGGGACUCCCAUUUCCCACUGGAGCUCUGCACCCCAACAGGGCUGCCCCGAUCCCUCCAUAGAGCCCUCACUCCCCACUGGAAGCUUUAUUCUUCCUUGGUUCCCGUGAUUGGUCCUCAUUCUCUUCCUGAGAACCCCCAUCCUUUCUCCAAGGAUACUGUCCUCCCAAGAAUGCUAUGGACUCCCCAACUCAAAACACAGCCCCUCACAAACACGCAUCCCCCAGGCUCCCCAGACCUGCUUUAUCCCGUAAUCCAGAGGAAGCCAAGUUUGCGGGUCCUCCUGUGCCUGGGGGCACAUUCUCAUAGGAAUUUCCUGGUGGGCCAGUGGUUGAGGAGGCUUCCCAGAUGGUGUUAGUGGUAAAGAACUCAUCUGCCAAUGCAGGAGAGUAGUCAUAUAUGGAUGUGAGAGUUGGACCAUAAAGAAGGUUGAUCACUGAAGAACUGAUGCUUUUGAACUGCAGUGUUAGAAAAGACUUUUGAGAGUCCCUUGGACUGCCGGGGAGAUCAAACCAGUCAAUUCUAAUGGGAAUCAACCCUGAAUAUUCAUUGGGAAGACUGAUGCUGAAGCUGAAGCUCCAAUACUUUGGCCACCUGAUGAGAAGAGCUGACUCUUUGGGAAAGACCCUGAUGCUGGGAAAGAUUGAGGGCAGGAGGAGAAGGGGACGACAGAGGAUGAGAUGGUUGGAUGGCAUCACCGACUCAAUGGACAUGGGUUUGAGCAAGCUCUGGGAGAUGGGGAAGGGCAGGGAAGCCUGGUGUGCUGCAGUCCAUGGGAUCACAAAGAGUCAGACAUGACUGACUGAACUGAACUGAGGUAAAAAGCAAUUUGUUUUCAUUAUUUUAUCUUGUAUCCAGUCAACUCUCCUAAUUGUAUUGUGUUUAUAUAUACACACUAUAUAUGUAUAUAUAUAAAUACAUACAUAUCUACUUGGUUUACGUCUUUGUUUUUGGCUGCCCUGGGUCUUCGUUGCUGCAAGUGGCCUCUCGCUCAUUUGCAGUGAGGGAGGGGAGGAGGGCGGGCCUCGAACUGCGUGGCUUCUCUUGUUGUGGAGUAAGGGAUCUAGGCACGUGGUCCUCGGUGGUUGCAGCUCGUGGGCUCUCAAGCACAGGCUCCGCAGUUGCGGUGCAUGGGCUUGGUUGCUCCAAGUGCAUGCGGGCUCUUCCCUGACCAGGGAUCAAACUUGUGUCUCCUGCAUUGGCAGGCAAUUCUUAAGCACUAGAUCACCAGGCCCCAGUGUUGUCUUUUUACUAGUUUUUUUUUUUACUCGUCUUGAAGUUUUUGAUAAUACAAUCAUAUCAGCAAAAACGAUAGACAGCUUUAUAAUUUUUCAGAUAAUCACACUAAUCCAUUCUCUUGUUUUACUGCAUUUGGUAAAACUUCCAAGAUAUGAUAAACAAGGGUAAUAGCAGGCAUUUCUGUCUAAAUUUUUAUUUCAAAAUUGUGAUUUUAGUGUUUCACUAUUAAGGACAAUAUUUGCUGUUAGGGUUUCCUAGCAGCAAAUACUUUUUACUUAGAGUUUUUACUGGGGAUGGUAUUAAGUUAUACUGGCUCUGUUUAUUAAAUAUGGGAGACUUUCUUCUUUUUUUCCAUAAUCUUGACUAUGGAAAUAGCAUGGGAAUUACUCUUAUUGAUGGUUAGAUAAUACUCAGUUGUGGCACCAAUUAAAUGCAGUCUUUUUCAAAGGUAGAUCCCUAAUCACCUUUCUAUUCUACUUUUUUCUAAGAUUAGUUGAGCUUUUCAAACUUUUCUCU